rnacentral:lncRNA from 1 species
GAGGAGGCAGGGCUGUAACAGGAAUUAUUGCCAGGCGACUGGGGAGGUACAACUUGGGGCAAAUCAACUGCACUGAGGGGUGACAGACCAUACCAACUGAACAUAAUAUUUACAACAUAAAGAACACAGGUGCGCUGCAACAGUGGAGUCACAAUACUUCAAAAGUAGUGUGCGGGCAGAGAGAGGAGGUCCUGAACCUUUCCUCCCCGCAAGACUUGGCACCAGAAACCGGGUGAGCACCCCUGUCCUCCAACACAGGGAAGUACCAGACAGAUACAGCUCAACAAGUUCUGUUGUGAUUUUCUGGUUUCCAAUAGCUAUGGCCUGUGAAUAUCCUUGCCUUUCAAGAAGAUAUUUGAAGAAAAAAAAAAUACUAUUUUCUUUUAAAAUUCCUGCAAGAAAUUAAAGCAGUCCUUGAGUCUUGGUGGCAGAGGGAAUCUACAAAGGAGGAAGCCAGCAACAGCUUUUCCAUCUCAGGACACCAGAUCACUGCAUCCUUUUCCCAUGGCACGAGCAGGUAAAAGAGAUAGAUUACAAAGGCCUGCUUUGACAUGGAUGACAAAUCUCAGCCUGCGAGUUAUCUCAGUCAGUAGGGUAUUGUUUAUAUGUCAUGUACACAGCAUACAAG